rnacentral:rRNA from 1 species
CCUACGGGUGGCAGCAGUCGAGAAUCAUUCACAAUGGGGGAAACCCUGAUGGUGCGACGCCGCGUGGGGGAAUGAAGGUCUUCGGAUUGUAAACCCCUGUCAUGUGGGAGCAAAUUAAAAAGAUAGUACCACAAGAGGAAGAGACGGCUAACUCUGUGCCAGCAGCCGCGGUAAUACAGAGGUCUCAAGCGUUGUUCGGAAUCACUGGGCGUAAAGCGUGCGUAGGCUGUUUCGUAAGUCGGGUGUGAAAGGCGCGGGCUCAACCCGCGGACGGCACAUGAUACUGCGAGACUAGAGUAAGGGAGGGGGAACCGGAAUUCUCGGUGUAGCAGUGAAAUGCGUAGAUAUCGAGAGGAACACUCGUGGCGAAGGCGGGUUCCUGGACAGUAACUGACGCUGAGGCACGAAGGCCAGGGGAGCGAAAGGGAUUAGAUACCCGAGUAGUC